rnacentral:rRNA from 1 species
UACGUAGGGGGCUAGCGUUGUCCGGAAUCAUUGGGCGUAAAGAGCGUGUAGGCGGCCCUGUAAGUCCGCUGUGAAAGUCGGGGGCUCAACCCUCGAAUGCCGGUGGAUACUGUCGGGCUAGAGUGCGGAAGAGGCGAGUGGAAUUCCUGGUGUAGCGGUGAAAUGCGCAGAUAUCAGGAGGAACACCAAUUGCGAAGGCAGCUCGCUGGGACGUAACUGACGCUGAGACGCGAAAGCGUGGGGAGCAAACAGG